rnacentral:rRNA from 1 species
UACAGAGGUCCCUAGCGUUGUUCGGAUUUACUGGGCGUAAAGGGCGCGUAGGCGGCGCGGUAAGUCGAGUGUGAAAUCUCCGGGCUCAACCCGGAAAGUGCGCUCGAGACUGCCAUGCUAGAGGCUGGGAGAGGAGAUCGGAAUAUAGGGUGUAGCGGUGAAAUGCGUUGAUAUCCUAUAGAACACCGGAGGCGAAGGCGGAUCUCUUGAACAGUACUGACGCUGAGGCGCGAAAGUCGGGGGAGCAAAC